GCUAAGGUAGUAUAAUCAUUUGUCUUUUAAUUAAAGACUAGAACAAAAGAUUUAACAUUUAAAUUCCUUUAUUAAUUCUAUUUAUUAAAAUUAUUUUUUAUGUAAAAAAACAUUAAUAAAAAAAACAGACGAUAAGACCCUAUUGAACUUUACUUAAGUUUAACUGGGGAAGUUAAUUAAUUAUUACUUUAAAUUAUAAAAAUACAUUAAUGACCUAAUACAAUUAACUAAAUGAUCAAGUUACCAUAGGGAUAACAGUGUAAUAUUAUUUUAAAGAUCUUAUUUAAAAUAAAACUUGCAACCUCGAUGUUGACUUAAUAACCUAUUUUACGCAAUAGUAAAAAAAGGAAGUCUGUUCGACUUUUAAAUAAUUACAUGA
rnacentral:rRNA from 1 species